AUAAUCCUGCCUCAGCCUCCUGAGAGCUGGGAUUCCAGGUGUGCACCACCACAUCCAGCUGGAGUUUAGUUUUUCUCAAAGGAGAUGGCUAGAAGCUGACCUGGAGUGCCAGAGCAAUCUCCAAAAGAUUGGGGCUGUGGUGUGGAAGAUAUUCAAGAAAUCCCCACUGGCUACUUAUUUGGGAUGGAUUCCGGAAAAUACUGAAAAAUACUGGGAAGCACACAGCAGUAGCAGCUGAAGUGAUGCAGGUUUACCCUUCUGUAUGGCAGAGUAGGACUCCAUUGUGUGGAAAUACUGCGUCUCCUUUGUCAUAAUCUGUGGACGGGCAGAUAGGCCGCUUCCGAGAGGUAGCUGUUGGGAGCUGCAGCGCCACAGACGUGGUGCUUCACAUCUGUCAAUGCACUUCUAUGUCUCGUCUGAGUUGCGGCCCAGGACCACCCCGGGAGGCAGAGCUGGGACCCCCACUUUAUGCAGAAAGGCUGGCUGUGCUGAUCUGGUACCACAUGACUUCUGGGUCUUCCCCAAAGUCAAAAUGACCAUGAAAAAACAACGUUUUGAAUGAACCCAGGACAUCGAGGCAGCCUUGACAUGCAACUGGAGACACUCAUGAAAGAGCACUUCCAGAAGUGCUUCAGAAAGUGGCAAGAACGAUGGGAUCAUGGUGUUUGAAGUGAGGUGGGUAAUGCAUGGCAAUGUGUCUUUUGCUGUAAUAUAUUUUGUCUCUUUAAACACACACCAUAUUUUUCUAUCUCACUUCAUACAUUAUAAAGACCCUGUUUCCCACAAAGUCAUGCUCACAGGUACUGGGAAGGAGGACUUCAAUACAUCUUUCUUGUUGGACACAACCGAACCCAUAGCAGACUCAUAUUUCUUUCAUGCUUGGCUAAAUGGUUAUCUGGACUCAGAAGCUCAGGAUUUGGAUCGGGUCCCAACUGGCCAUCGGGGGGUGUUAAGAAUCUCUUGUACUUGUCCUCUGCUUGCUACAGUGUUUUCACACAUAGCCUCACUCAGGCUGCACAGCAGACUCUGGGAAUGGCCAGAGGCUCGGAUUCUCGUUUUACUCUAAGGAAGAAGACAUGAGGAAGAAAUGGAAGUGGUGGCCAGAGGCUGCCCUUUGCUUGGGGCAGCUGGCCUUGUUUAGGGCUCUAAAGCUGUGACUAUAAAUUCCUUUCCACCGAUGUGGCUUUCCCCAUUUGACCGCAAGAGUCUCUGCCAAGGACCGGAGCUGGGAAACCAAGCUGCUUUGCAGAGAACCUAAAUUUAGCCUUUAGCUUCUGAAAUACAUUUGCCGUGCAGUCUCCUGGUUCUUUGACAACUUUGAAGGUAUUGUUUUGGGAGUCUUUCUAUGACAGUCCCAGCAUUCACUGUGGGUAGUGGCAGGACACCAGGGACUGUGGAUUUAUUUGAUUUUAAUGGGCUGUAAGCUAUUCCUGACAGAUACGGAUGAUAAGUACAUUAUCUCAUUUAAAAAGGACCAUGCGUAGCACCUAAGCCACAGCUCCAAUGGCCUCUUGCAUCCAGAAACAGCUGUCAUCCACAGGCUCCCAGAAGCUACCUCACAGUUCCCGAAUGGGGAACACUGUGGUCCCCUAGUCACUGAAGCCCCUCCCAGGCUGAGACCGGAUGUACACUGCUAUUUUCUAGCAGGGCUCUGAUUUAUGAGUUGCUAAAUGAGCUCUGUGUUUACUUUCCAUGGCUGGCUGCCUUCAGUGCCGAAGACUUGCUGUUUUUUUUUUCCUCGUGAUUAGACGGAUUAGUUUUGUGUUACAUAUUUCUUGUGUACCUAAACAAGCGGUCUUCACUUUGCACACUGCCACAUUCACAGAAACAUGUGCACACUCUGCAGGGGCCCACAGUAACUGCACAGGGAGUAAUCGCUCUGGUGCAUCUGGAUUUGGGCAAACCAGGUUCAGUGCAAAGUGAGGACUGUUUUAUUUUUUAAAUAAAAUUGGGAUGAAGAAUGUGGUGACGGUAGGUGGUGCCUACUGGGCACGGAGCACUUGCCUGUCUUCCCAGUCCACACGGAGAAAGAAGGUAGCAAGGGUCAGGUGAUGCACAGAAGCGAUGGAGUGUAGACAGAGCUGCUGGAUCUUCCAGAGAGGAGGGGGUGCGGGGGUGCGGGGGAACGUGGCCAUUGCCCUCCAGGGACAGGAGAAUCGGAGAGGACGCGUCAAAGAGUGAGCAUCUGCGAGCUUUGUGAGAGGAGUGGCGUUUAGGAAGACAGAAGAAGGAAGCCAGAGGUGGGCCUUCCAGGCUGAGCCAGCAGCACAGCCCAAAUCAGAGGGGCAUUCUGAACCCUUGCACCAAGGCUGCCCAGUGAGGCUCUGGGUGAUGAGGUGACGUGGGUGACAUGGGUGACAUGACCGAAGGGCCAUCUCUGCUUCUCAGGUACGUGCGCCACAGGUGGCUCAUGGGAUCAGUCGCGUGUGGGCGCCCAGGUUGCACCUUGGUGACCUAGAAGGUGGGCCCCGGACACUGUCUGCCCUUAGCUGAUGACAAAGCAGAGCCUCAAAAGGCAAAGACUCAUCCAUGCUGCACAACCAGAGACUGGCCCAGCAGCGAGAAGAAUGCAGGUUUCCCAGGCCCUGAUUCGCUCCUUCUGCUCUUGGGCCACACAGAACUUACUGCUCUGAUGGUCAUGUUUGAUCUACCCUAAAGGGUUGGGGCUUCACACGAUUUUGUUUACAGAGAUGCUGAUUUUUCUAUCUGACCCCUCCUUAAGGAAGUACCCACUGAGGGACAAACGUGAAAACUGACAUAAGCACGUGUGAUGGCUUUGAGUUUGACUGUCCAUUUAUUUCUUUUAUAAUUAGAUUUUUACAUAAAUAAUUUUAUUUAAAAAUUAAUGUGGAUUAGCAUUUGCAAAGUGGUUGUCCUGCUUGUGUCUAGAUGUCCCCCCAGAGCCUCCUGUGGUUGUAGGUGGGGGCUUUUUCACAGGUGUCCGGAUCUAGAGUGUGUGAUGCUGGGAUUAAGGGUGUGUGAUUACUGAGUGAGCCCACUGAUU